rnacentral:tmRNA from 1 species
GGGGGCGUUUUGGCUUCGACGGGGGUAAGAUGGGUCUGGGAAGCGAGUCGAGGGAAGCAUGUGGCCUCGUUAAUAAAAUAUGCACUAAAUGUAAACGCAGAAGAUAAUUUUGCAUUAGCAGCUUAGUAGCUGCUCGUUCUACCUAGGAGUCCCACGACUUAGGAUAGGGCGUCGAUUAGUGGGGAACCGAACUUAGCAAAGCUUUGAGCUAUGGACGGAAUUAAUGAAGCUACUGAAAAGUAAAGCCUGUCUGUAGGCGUUACUUGGAGGGAAUGUUAAAUUGCAGACUGCACUCGGAGAUGCCCAGAUUGGUCUGCUUUCGGACAGGGGUUCGAUUC